rnacentral:rRNA from 1 species
GUGGGGAAUUUUGGACAAUGGGCGCAAGCCUGAUCCAGCAAUGCCGCGUGAGUGAAGAAGGCCUUCGGGUUGUAAAGCUCUUUUGUCAGGGAAGAAACGGUGAGGGCUAAUAUCCCUUGCUAAUGACGGUACCUGAAGAAUAAGCACCGGCUAACUACGUGCCAGCAGCCGCGGUAAUACGUAGGGUGCAAGCGUUAAUCGGAAUUACUGGGCGUAAAGCGUGCGCAGGCGGUUUUGUAAGUCUGUCGUGAAAUCCCCGGGCUCAACCUGGGAAUUGCGAUGGAGACUGCAAGGCUAGAAUCUGGCAGAGGGGGGUAGAAUUCCACGUGUAGCAGUGAAAUGCGUAGAGAUGUGGAGGAACACCGAUGGCGAAGGCAGCCCCCUGGGUCAAGAUUGACGCUCAUGCACGAAAGCGUGGGGAGCAAACAGGAUUAGAUACCCUGGUAGUCCACGCCCUAAACGAUGUCUACUAGUUGUCGGGUUUUAAUUAACUUGGUAACGCAGCUAACGCGUGAAGUAGACCGCCUGGGGAGUACGGUCGCAAGAU